GAUGAACGCUAGCGGCAGGCCUAACACAUGCAAGUCGAGGGAGGAGCUUUCGGGCUUCGACCGGCGUACGGGUGCGUAACGCGUAUACAAUCUGCCUUUCACAUAGGGAUAGCCCGAAGAAAUUUGGAUUAAUACCUAAUGGUAUAUAGGAGUGACAUCACAUUUAUAUUAAAGCUGAGGCGGUGAAAGAUGACUAUGCGUUCUAUUAGCUAGUUGGAGAGGUAACGGCUCCCCAAGGCGACGAUAGAUAGGGGUUCUGAGAGGGAUAUCCCCCACACUGGUACUGAGAUACGGACCAGACUCCUACGGGAGGCAGCAGUGAGGAAUAGUGGACAAUGGUCGGAAGACUGAUCCAGCCAUGCCGCGUGCAGGAAGACGGCCUUAUGGGUUGUAAACUGCUUUUGCAGGGGAAGAAUAAGGACUACGAGUAGUUUGAUGACGGUACUCUGCGAAUAAGCAUCGGCUAACUCCGUG
rnacentral:rRNA from 1 species